rnacentral:rRNA from 1 species
UCAGAGGUGGCGAGCGUUGUUCGGAUUGAUUGGGUGUAAAGGGUGCGUAGGCGGUUUGGAAAGUCGGGUGUGAAAUCCUAUGGCUUAACCAUAGAACUGCAUUCGAAACUUCCUAACUAGAGUGCGAGAGAGGUGAAGGGAAUUCCCGGUGUAAGGGUGAAAUCUGUAGAGAUCGGGAGGAACACCAGUAGCGAAGGCGCUUCACUGGCUCGUAACUGACGCUGAGUGCACGAAAGCGUGGGGAGCAAACGG